rnacentral:rRNA from 1 species
GCAGCAGUAAGGAAUAUUGGGCAAUGGUCGGAAGACUGACCCAGCCAUGCCGCGUGCAGGAAGAAGGCCCUAUGGGUUGUAAACUGCUUUAGCCAGGGGCUAAACCUACCGAUGCGUUGGUAGCUGAAGGUACCUGGAGAAUAAGCAUCGGCUAACUCCGUGCCAGCAGCCGCGGUAAUACGGAGGAUGCGAGCGUUAUCCGGAUUUACUGGGUUUAAAGGGUGCGCAGGCGGUUGUUUAAGUCAGGGGUGAAAGCCCUAUGCUCAACAUAGGGAUUGCCUUUGAUACUGAACGGCUAGAGUGAAGAUGGAGUGGGUGGAAUGUGUUGUGUAGCGGUGAAAUGCAUAGAUAUAACACAGAACACCGAUCGCGAAGGCAGCUCACUAAUUUUCAACUGACGCUCAUGCACGAAAGCGUGGGGAUCAAACAGGAUUAGAUACCCUGGUAGUCCACGCUGUAAACGAUGAUCACUAGCUGUUGGUACGCUGAAGUAUCAGUGGCUAAGCGAAAGUGAUAAGUG